GACGAACGCUGGCGGCGUGCUUAACACAUGCAAGUCGAACGGAAAGACCCUGCUUUUGUGGGGUGCUCGAGUGGCGAACGGGUGAGUAACACGUGAGUAACCUGCCCUUGACUUUGGGAUAACUUCAGGAAACUGGGGCUAAUACCGGAUAGGAGCUCCUGCUGCAUGGUGGGGGUUGGAAAGUUUCGGCGGUUGGGGAUGGACUCGCGGCUUAUCAGCUUGUUGGUGGGUAGUGGCUUACCAAGGCUUUGACGGGUAGCCGGCCUGAGAGGGUGACCGGCCACAUUGGGACUGAGAUACGGCCCAGACUCCUACGGGAGGCAGCAGUGGGGAAUAUUGCACAAUGGGCGGAAGCCUGAUGCAGCAACGCCGCGUGCGGGAUGACGGCCUUCGGGUUGUAAACCGCUUUCGCCUGUGACGAAGCGUGAGUGACGGUAAUGGGUAAAGAAGCACCGGCUAACUACGUG
rnacentral:rRNA from 1 species